UCUCUCUCUCUCUCUCUCUCUCUCUCUCUCUCUCCAGCAAGCACUAAACUGAAACCAAGUCUCCUCCUCCCUACCCCUUAACAAAUUCUACACAACACCUCAAAACUCUCAACCAUCAUGCCUCACGAUCAACUUGAGAUGAAGGCCAUGAAAAAGAAAAAGAAAAAGUAGAGGCAUGGUAUCGUGGGUUAGCAAAAAGUUGGAAUGGGAG